CUUAGUGGCGGACGGGUGAGUAACGCGUGGGGAACCUGCCCUGUACAGGGGGAUAACACUUAGAAAUAGGUGCUAAUACCGCAUAAGCGCACAGUGCCGCAUGAUACAGUGUGAAAAACUCCGGUGGUACAGGAUGGACCCGCGUCUGAUUAGCUGGUUGGCGGGGUAACGGCCCACCAAGGCGACGAUCAGUAGCCGGCCUGAGAGGGUGAACGGCCACAUUGGGACUGAGACACGGCCCAAACUCCUACGGGAGGCAGCAG
rnacentral:rRNA from 1 species